rnacentral:lncRNA from 1 species
CUUGUAAUUUACUCUAAAUCUUAUUUACAAAAAAAAAAAUUCAACCAAGAUUUUAGGCGGAGAUGACAAGACAUGUACAUGUAAAACCGUUAACUUGUUUAAACAUUAUUGACUUGCCAACCCGUCUUGACUCAUUUGGAUAAGUGGGUGCAUGGGUCCUGUUCGAGUUUAUAUCUUUACACAAAUACAUAUACAAAUCGUGUUCAGGUGCGCGACAAUUGGUCAAACAGAAUCACCCUACAAACCCUAGUCUGUUGUACCACCAUUCAAAUUACAGAAAUCUACAAGCCAAAUUUAAAGAGAAAGAAGUGCAAUAUAGCUUGAAAGGGAUUCUCUCUUCAAGAUUCAUAGACAACUGAGGUGAACCAAUGAUUUCCAUGUCACCACGACAGUCGGUCC